AUCUACCACCAUACCACCCUGGAUGUGACCAAUCUGAUCUGAUCUUGAAAGCUAAGCAGGGUCAAGACAGAUUAGUACUUGGAUGGGAGACCGCCUGGGAAUACCAGGUGCUGUAGGCU
rnacentral:rRNA from 1 species